CGUACGAGUUUGAUCCUGGCUCAGAUUGAACGCUGGCGGAAUGCUUUACACAUGCAAGUCGAACGGUAGAGGGGGCAACCCCUUGAGAGUGGCGAACGGGUGAGUAAUAUAUCGGAACGUGCCCAGUCGUGGGGGAUAACGUAGCGAAAGCUACGCUAAUACCGCAUACGAUCUAUGGAUGAAAGCGGGGGAUCGCAAGACCUCGCGCGAUUGGAGCGGCCGAUAUCUGAUUAGGUAGUUGGUGAGGUAAAGGCUCACCAAGCCGACGAUCUGUAGCUGGUCUGAGAGGACGACCAGCCACACUGGGACUGAGACACGGCCCAGACUCCUACGGGAGGCAGCAGUGGGGAAUAUUGGACAAUGGGCGAAAGCCUGAUCCAGCCAUGCCGCGUGUGUGAAGAAGGUCUUCGGAUUGUAAAGCACUUUAAGUUGGGAGGAAGGGUAGUAACCUAAUACGUUGCUACUUUGACGUUACCGACAGAAUAAGCACCGGCUAACUUCGUG
rnacentral:rRNA from 1 species